rnacentral:rRNA from 1 species
UUAGAGUUUGAUUCUGGCUCAGGAUGAACGCUAGCGGCAGGCUUAACACAUGCAAGUCGAGGGGCAGCGAGAUCAGUGCUUGCACUGAUUGUCGGCGACCGGCGCACGGGUGCGUAACGCGUAUGCAACCUACCAAUUACAGGGGGAUAACACUGAGAAAUCGGUACUAAUACCCCAUAACAUCCAGGGAGGCAUCUUCUUGGGUUGAAAACUCCGGUGGUAAUGGAUGGGCAUGCGUUGUAUUAGUUAGUUGGUGGGGUAACGGCUCACCAAGACAACGAUACAUAGGGGGACUGAGAGGUUAACCCCCCACAUUGGUACUGAGACACGGACCAAACUCCUACGGGAGGCAGCAGUGAGGAAUAUUGGUCAAUGGACGCAAGUCUGAACCAUCCAUGCCGCGUGCAGGAACACGGCUCUAUGAGUUGUAAACUGCUUUUGUAUCGAGGGUAAACGCAGAUAGGGGUAUCUGUCUGAAAGUAUCGUACGAAUAAGGAUCGGCUAACUCCGUGCCAGCAGCCGCGGUAAUAUGGAGGAUUCAAGCGUUAUCCGUAUUUAUUGGGUUUAAAGGGUGCGUAGGCGGUCGGAUAAGUUAGAGGUGAAAUCCGCGGGGCUCAUCUUCGGAAUUUCUUAUGGUACUGUUCGGCUAGAGAGUAGUGGCGGUAGGCGGAAUGUAUGGUGUAGCGGUGAAAUGCUUAGAGAUCAUACAGAACACCGAUUGCGAAGGCAGCUUACCAAGCUACUUCUGACGUUGAGGCACGAAAGCGUGGGGAGCAAACAGGAUUAGAUACCCUGGUAGUCCACGCAGUAAAC